rnacentral:lncRNA from 1 species
GGGUGGGCAAAGUUGGAGUUCUUCAGGUAGGUGAAAAGUUCUAGAGCAGGUUUUCGCACCAUGACACAGGCUUCCUGGAAGGUCUUAAUCUGCUGCUGGAAACGAUAGGGCAGCCCAUGUGGGAAAACAGCCUUCACCUCCUCCAGAGGAAUGCUGUAAUGGCGACCCUCGUGCUGUUCACUGUGCUGGGCCGGGUCACUCUCGUUGGUAUAGAAGAUUGCUCUUGGUUUUUCUGCUGGGGUCUGGACAUCCUGGCUGACAACAGAACUGAAGCAAUCCUUGGCUGCCGUGUGGAGAGCGUACCCAUGGUCCAACUUCAAAGGACGGCAGAUGAACCCUUUCACGCUUCUCAGCAUUUUGUCGCCGGCAGCCGCCGCACCGCGCCGCGCUGACAGGAUCCCCGCGAGAGCGGGCCGAACGCGGCGCUACGGCUGCCGGGAAGGGACAAAAAGCGCAGCGCGAACGCGGCCCGACCCAACCCGAGAGCUCCGGCCGCUUCUCGCGUCGCCCCCC